rnacentral:tRNA from 1 species
GCUUUCGUGGUGUAACCGGUAGCACAUUCGAAGCGAAUUUUGAGCACUCCAGGUUCGAUUCCCGGCGAGGGCA